UAGGGAAUCUUCCGCAAUGGGCGAAGGCCUGACGGAGCAACGCCGCGUGAGUGAUGAAGGUCUUCGGAUCGUAAAACUCUGUUAUUAGGGAAGAACAAAUGUGUAAGUAACUAUGCACGUCUUGACGGUACCUAAUCAGAAAGCCACGGCUAACUACGUGCCAGCAGCCGCGGUAAUACGUAGGUGGCAAGCGUUAUCCGGAAUUAUUGGGCGUAAAGCGCGCGUAGGCGGUUUUUUAAGUCUGAUGUGAAAGCCCACGGCUCAACCGUGGAGGGUCAUUGGAUGCUGGAAAACUUGAGUGCAGAAGAGGAAAGUGGAAUUCCAUGUGUAGCGGUGAAAUGCGCAGGGAUAUGGAGGAACACCAGUGGCGAAGGCGACUUUCUUGUCUGUAACUGACGCUUAUGUGCGAAAGCGUGGGGAUCAAACAGG
rnacentral:rRNA from 1 species